rnacentral:rRNA from 1 species
AGAGCGAACGCUGGCGGCAGGCCUAAUACAUGCAAGUCGAACGGACCCUUCGGGGUUAGUGGCGGACGGGUGAGUAACACGUGGGAACGUGCCCUUUGGUUCGGAACAACUCAGGGAAACUUGAGCUAAUACCGAAUGUGCCCCCAUCCUUAAACAAGAUGGGUGGGAAAGAUUUAUCGCCAUUGGAGCGGCCCGCGUCUGAUUAGCUAGUUGGUGAGGUAAAGGCUCACCAAGGCGACGAUCAGUAGCUGGUCUGAGAGGAUGAUCAGCCACACUGGGACUGAGACACGGCCCAGACUCCUACGGGAGGCAGCAGUAGGGAAUCUUGCGCAAUGGGCGAAAGCCUGACGCAGCCAUGCCGCGUGAAUGAUGAAGGUCUUAGGAUUGUAAAAUUCUUUCAGCGGGACGAUAAUGACGGUACCCGCAGAAGAAGCCCGGCUAACUUCGCGCCAGCAGCCGC